CACGUAGGGGGCGAGCGUUGUCCGGAUUUAUUGGGCGUAAAGAGCUCGUAGGCGGCUCGGUAAGUCGGGUGUGAAACCUCCAGGCUCAACCUGGAGACGCCACUCGAUACUGCCGUGGCUAGAGUCCGGUAGAGGAGCGUAGAAUUCCUGGUGUAGCGGUGAAAUGCGCAGAUAUCAGGAGGAAUACCAGCGGCGAAGGCGGCGCUCUGGGCCGGUACUGACGCUGAGGAGCGAAAGCGUGGGGAGCGAACAGG
rnacentral:rRNA from 1 species